rnacentral:miRNA from 1 species
UGCUACUACUAGGUUGGUGCAAAAGUAAUUGCUGUUUUUGCCCUUAAAAGUAAUGGCAAAAACUGCAAUUACUUUUGCACCAGCCUAA